GUCAGUGUGCUGUAGUGGUUUGAACACUGGACCAGGACUCUAGGGAUCAGGGUUCAAAAUCCCGCUCAGCCA